rnacentral:rRNA from 1 species
GACGAACGCUGGCGGCGUGCUUAACACAUGCAAGUCGAACGGAAAGGCCCUUCGGGGUACUCGAGUGGCGAACGGGUGAGUAACACGUGGGUGAUCUGCCCUGCACUUUGGGAUAAGCCUGGGAAACUGGGUCUAAUACCGAAUAGGACUGCGCUCUUCAUGGGGUGUGGUGGAAAGCUUUUGCGGUGUGGGAUGGGCCCGCGGCCUAUCAGCUUGUUGGUGGGGUAAUGGCCUACCAAGGCGACGACGGGUAGCCGGCCUGAGAGGGUGACCGGCCACACUGGGACUGAGAUACGGCCCAGACUCCUACGGGAGGCAGCAGUGGGGAAUAUUGCACAAUGGGCGCAAGCCUGAUGCAGCGACGCCGCGUGAGGGAUGACGGCCUUCGGGUUGUAAACCUCUUUCGACAUUGACGAAGCCCUUUUGGGGUGACGGUAGGUGUAGAAGAAGGACCGGCCAACUACGUGCCAGCCGCCGCCGUAACAC